rnacentral:rRNA from 1 species
GACGAACGCUGGCGGCGUGCUUAACACAUGCAAGUCGAACGGAAAGGCCCUGCUUUUGUGGGGUUCUCGAGUGGCGAACGGGUUAGUAACACGUGAGUAACCUGCCCUUGACUUUGGGAUACCUUCAGGAAACUGGUGCUAAUACCGGAUAGGAGCUCCUGCUGCAUGGUGGUGGUUGGAGCGUUGCGGCGGUUGGGGAUGGAGUGGCGGCUCAUCAGCUUGUUGGUGGGGUAGUGGCUUACCAAGGGUUUGACGGGUAGCCGGCCUGAGAGGGUGACCAGGGACAAUGGGACUGAGAUACGGACCAGAAUCCAACGGGAGGCAGCAGGGGGGAAUAUUGCGGAGUGGGCGGAAGCCUGAUGCGGAAACGCCGCGUGCGGAAUGACGGCCUUCGGGUUGUAAACCGCUUUCGCCUGUGCCGAAGAGUGAGUGACGGUAACGGGUAAAGAAGCACCGGCUAACUACGUG